ACUCGCCCUGGGCGCUGGGGCAUGCCUUCCGCGCCUUCGACGCCUGGCCGGUCAACAUCGGCUUCCUCGGCCGCGGUUCCUCCUCGGGCGAGGCCC
rnacentral:tRNA from 1 species